GAUGAACGCUGGCGGCGUGCCUAAUACAUGCAAGUCGAGCGAACAGACGAGGAGCUUGCUCCUCUGACGUUAGCGGCGGACGGGUGAGUAACACGUGGAUAACCUACCUAUAAGACUGGGAUAACUUCGGGAAACCGGAGAUACUACCAGCUAAUAUAUUGAACCGCAUGGUUCAAUAGUGAAAGACGGUUUUGCUGUCACUUAUAGAUGGAUCCGGGUCGCAUUAGCUAGUUGGUAAGGUAACGGCUUACCAAGGCAACGAUGCGUAGCCGACCUGAGAGGGUGAUCGGCCACACUGGAACUGAGACACGGUCCAGACUCCUACGGGAGGCAGCAGUAGGGAAUCUUCCGCAAUGGGCGAAAGCUUGACGGAGCAACGCCGCGUGAGUGAUGAAGGUCUUCGGAUCGUAAAACUCUGUUAUUAGGGAAGAACAAAUGUGUAAGUAACUAUGCACGUCUUGACGGUACCUAAUCAGAAAGCCACGGCUAACUACGUG
rnacentral:rRNA from 1 species